GCCUAACAGCUAGCUCAUCUAAUUUAAUUAACACCAGACAAUUCAUAAGUUUUACUUAACCUAAACACCCACAACUAAAACAUUUUCCUGCCUUAGUAUGGGCGACAGAAAAGGCAUUAGAAGCAAUAGAAAAAGUACCGCAAGGGAAAGCUGAAAGAGAAAUGAAAUAACCCAUUUAAGCUCAAAAAAGCAGAGACAUAACCUCGUACCUUUUGCAUCAUGAUUUAGCUAGAACUUUUGAGCAAAGAGAAACUAUAGUUCUUAACCCCGAAACCAAGUGAGCUACCCCGAGACAGCCUAUUUUAGGGCCAACCCGUCUCUGUAGCAAAAGAGUGGGAUGCCUAAGAAAUGAAUAUUAGUUCAGCCUCGUACUCCCCAGCCCAAACAAACACUUCUGUUUUUCGGAAUAGAGAAAACUACGAGAGUUAAUCAGACGGGGUACAGCCCCUCUGAUCCAGGAUACAACCUGAACCAGGAGGUUAAAAGUCACACUCAACAAGAUAUGCCGCUUUAGUGGGCCUAAAAGCAGCCACCUACUCAGAAAGCGUUAAAGCUCAGGCAGAACAAAAAUCUAUUAUUCUGAUACUCAACUCCAAACCCCUACUAUUAUUAGGCCAUUCUAUGCCCCCAUAGAAGAGAUACUGCUAAAAUGAGUAACAAGAAGGAAACCCCUUCUCCAUGCCCACCCAUAUAUUAGAUCGGACUGCCACUAAUAAUUAACGAACCCAACCAAAGAGGGAAAAGUGAUCAAACAACAAAACCAAGAAAACCUCACACUAACCAAUCGUUAACCCCACACUGGAGGGCUUCAAGGAAAGAUUAAAAGAAAGGGAAGGAACUCGGCAAACACAAGCCUCGCCUGUUUACCAAAAACAUCGCCUCCUGCAAAAAUCAACGUAUAGGAGGUCUUGCCUGCCCAGUGACUAAGUUAAACGGCCGCGGUAUUUUGACCGUGCAAAGGUAGCGCAAUCACUUGUUUUUUAAAUGAAGACCUGUAUGAAUGGUGAAACGAGGGCUUAACUGUCUCCCCUCUCUGAUCAGUGAAAUUGAUCUACCCGUGCAGAAGCGGGUAUAAAUAUACAAGACGAGAAGACCCUAUGGAGCUUAAGACACAAAGUUAACUGCGUUAAUAAGCCCUUAUUAAAGGAAAAAACAAGGCAAUAACUAACUAGCGUCUUCGGUUGGGGCGACCGCGGGGGAAAAAGAAUCCCCCACGUGGAACUAGAUAUUUUUCUAAACCACGAGGCACACCUCUAAGUCACAGAACUUCUGACCAAAAGAUCCGGCAUUCAGCCGAUCAACGGACCAAGUUACCCUAGGGAUAACAGCGCAAUCCCCUCCAAGAGUCCAUAUCGACAAGGGGGUUUACGACCUCGAUGUUGGAUCAGGACAUCCUAAUGGUGCAGCCGCUAUUAAGGGUUCGUUUGUUCAACGAUUAAAGUCCUACGUGAUCUGAGUUCAGACCGAAGCAAUUCAGGUCAGUUUCUAUCUGUAAAGUUACCUCUCCUAGUACGAAAGGACCGGAAACGUGAGGCCUAUAUCUCAGACACGCCUUACUUCUACUUAAUGAAAUCAACUUAAUUAGAUAAAGAAGAACAUAAAAUACCCAAAGAUAAUUUGGGGU
rnacentral:rRNA from 1 species